CCAACAAUGCAAGCCCUUGGAUGUCUUCUUCAUUGUGGAGAUAGUGGCUCUGCAUGAUCUAGAGUGAUCUACGUGAAAUUCUCACUUGCUUCUUUUCAAAUGCUUGCUGGUGUUUGAGGAUUAAGGUUUUGAUGCUACUUAUUAUCGUUUGCAUUUGUGAAGAUGAAUAACAGUAGCUUGAAGCUACAAGACAAGGGAAAUGAUUUCUUGAAGUUCUUUAUCUCUUACUUGCAUUUGUGAUGGUGAUUUGAUCUUGAUUUGGUGAUACAUUGAUCAUGCUGGUAUACAUAUAGUUAUGUGCGGAGGAAUUAAAUUUAAUUUGUAGGGGUUUCUGGUUGAAUUAUUAUACUCUUAUGCCUCGAGCGCAUUGAACGUUGACUCUAACUAGACAUAUGUUGGGCGUUAUCAAUUAGAUGUGAAUUUGAAUGAAAUGGGUUUAGUUUGAUCAUUCUUGUAAAUAAUUAGUUUGAUUAUUCUCUUACAUGCUCAUGAUUAUGGGUA
rnacentral:lncRNA from 1 species